AUCCUGCUGAUGAGUGCCAAAUAGGACGAAAAGUGACUUCUAGGUU
rnacentral:hammerhead_ribozyme from 1 species